rnacentral:rRNA from 1 species
CCUACGGGAGGCUGCAGUGGGGAAUAUUGCACAAUGGGCGCAAGCCUGAUGCAGCGACGCCGCGUGAGCGAUGAAGGCCUUCGGGUCGUAAAGCUCUGUCCUAAGGGAAGAAUAAUGACGGUACCUUAGGAGGAAGCCCCGGCUAACUACGUGCCAGCAGCCGCGGUAAUACGUAGGGGGCGAGCGUUAUCCGGAAUCACUGGGCGUAAAGGGUGCGUAGGCGGCCCUGCAAGUCAGGAGUUAAAUCCCUCGGCUCAACCGAGGUCAGCUCUUGAAACUGUAGGGCUUGAGUGCAGGAGGGGAGAGAGAAAUUCCUGGGGUGGCGGUGAAAUGCGUAAAUAUUAGGAAGAACACCAGGGGGGAGGGGGGGUUUGUGCACUGUAACGGACGCUGGGGCACGAAGGCGUGGGGAGCAAAAGGGUUUAGAGACCCGGGUGGUC